rnacentral:lncRNA from 1 species
UCUGUCUCUAUCUCUCUUUCUUGUUCUUUCUCCUUCUCUCUCUCCUUCUCUGUCUGCCUCUUUUUCUCUCUUUUUUCUGUCUGUACUGUAUCUCUCUUUCUCGUUCUUUCUCCUUCUCUCUCUCUCUCUCUCUCUUUUCGCUCUUUCUUCUUGUCUGUCUGUCUCUCUCUCUCUUUCUUCUGUCUGUAUUUCUCUUUCUCAUUGUUUCUCUUUCUCUCUCCUUCUCUGCCUGUCUCCCUCUCUUUCUCUCUCUUUUCUGUCUUUCUUUUUCUCAUCCUUUCUCCUUGUCUGUCUCUCUCCCUCUCUGCUUGUGUCCUGCUCUUUCUCUGUUUUUUUCUCUCUCUCUUUCUUCUUGUCUGUCUCUCUUUCUCUUUUUUCUGUCUGUACUCUAUCUCUCUUUCUCGUACUUUCUCCUUCUCUUUCUCUUCCUCUCUCUCUCUCUUCUUGUCUGUCUCACUCUUUCUCUCUUUUUUUCUAUUUGUAUUUCUCUUUCUCUCUCCUUCUCUGUCUCCCUCUCUUUCUAUCUCUUUUCUGUCUCUCUCUCUCUUUUUCUCAUUCUUUCUCCUUGUCUGUCUCUCUUCCUCUCUGCCUGUCUCCCUCUCUUUCUCUCUUUUCUCUCUCUCUUUCUCUCUCUUUUUUCUGUCUGUAUUUCUCUUUCUCGUUCCUUCUCUGCCUGUCUCCCUCUUUUUCUCUCUUUUUUCUGCCUCUCACCCUUUCUCAUUCCUUCUCCUUCUCUCUCUCCUUCUCCGUCUGUCUCCCUCUCUUUCUUUCUGUUUUUUCCAUCUCCUCCUCUCUCUUUCUCAUUCUUCCUCCUUCUCUGUCUGUCUCCCACUCUCCUUUCCUCCUUCCCUCUCUCUUGCUCUUCUUCUUUUUUCUCUCUCCCUGUCUUUUUCUCUUCUCUCUUUGUCUGCCUCUCUAUUUCUCAGUCUUUCUCACUCUCUUGCUGCAAGGAGUGGAGAACUUCAGACUUCUGGGAUAGACGCGGUCCCUCGAAAUCCUGUGGCUACUUUCACCAGCAGCCUGGCGGAGAAGCCAUCAGUCUGGGUGCAAGUUCCCGCCGAGGGCGUAUUGCGCAAAAGGGAAGGAAGGCCAAUGCAAAGGAGACCGAAGAGCUCGGCUGCUUGCACAAGAUCAGACGAGUCCCAGUACCAGUUGAACAAUCUAAGGGCAGAGUCC